GCUGUGGCUCAGUGGUAGAGCUCUUGCCUUGCAUGUGUGAGGCACUGGGUUCAAUUCUCAGCACUGCA
rnacentral:tRNA from 1 species